AGGUGUGAGGUCAUUUUGGCUACUACAGCCCUCACUCCACUAAUUUCUGUGGUAGAUUAGACAGGUCUAAAGUAAGUGCAAUGACUCCUUCCCUACUCCCUAUUCUAUGUGUGCUCCUUGGUCAAAGAAGAGGACCUUCCCCAAUAGUGGAAGUAUGUUUGGGGGCAAGGGUUUGUGUGUAGCUGUGUUCCUCUGUUAGCUGACCCAAUAAACAGUCAAGGCUUCGCUGUUUGACAGGUACGGAGGGAUGCAAGACUUG
rnacentral:sRNA from 1 species